rnacentral:rRNA from 1 species
UGGGGAAUAUUGCGCAAUGGGCGAAAGCCUGACGCAGUGACGCCGCGUGAGGGAUGAAGGUUUUCGGAUCGUAAACCUCUGUCAGAAGGGAAGAAUGAUACAGAUGUGAACAAUGUCUGUAAGUGACGGUACCUUCAAAGGAAGCACCGGCUAACUCCGUGCCAGCAGCCGCGGUAAUACGGAGGGUGCGAGCGUUAAUCGGAAUUACUGGGCGUAAAGCGCACGUAGGCUGUUUGUCAAGUCAGGGGUGAAAUCCCGCGGCUCAACCGCGGAAUUGCCUUUGAAACUGGCGAACUGGAGUGUCGGAGAGGGUGGCGGAAUUCCAGGUGUAGGAGUGAAAUCCGUAGAUAUCUGGAGGAACACCAGUGGCGAAGGCGGCCACCUGGACGAUAACUGACGCUGAGGUGCGAAAGCGUGGGUAGCAAACAGGAUUAGAUACCCUGGUAGU